CCACUGAAACCCACCAUCACACUGCAGAGGAGCAAGCGACCCUCAGAGAGGCCAUCCAGAGGUGCUCUGGCCAAUAGCCCUGGCUGAGAUUGGAAUGGCUGAGGGCCAGCUGGGGAUGGAAACAGUACAUGAAGGAGUCACGUGCCUGGCGAUGGUGCUCAGAGUAACGUGCCAGAGACCAGAACACAGAGCAAGACAGAGAUAUUUCUACCAGGCCCUAGAGGCAGCACACCUAGAAAGUUCUAGAAAGUUCUAGAAAGUUCUCAAUGCUGCUCGCCGGUUCAAGUGAAAUGAACACAGUCCCCGCUAUCCUGACGACUCAUCUGCCUUUGGGAUAUUACAAAAAAUAAGCCCGUAAGACAGUAGGAAAGGUAAGAUUUUUGUUUUCCUUCCUUUCUGAGUUAAGCUAACCUUAACAUUGUGAUUUUAAAAACUUUAAAAAAAACCCAGAAACCUAAGCUCAGCACCAAUAAGAUCAAGAAGCGCCUGGAGGUGAUCCCAAGUGAGACCCUCUGUCUAAAAUAAGGGAGGGGGGGAGAGAGGUUUUGUUUCUGGUAAAGUCAGAAAACGUAAGCACCAUGAAAGGCCCACCAAGUCGGUGGGCAAAACAGGCCUCCUGGCACCUAGGGUCCCUGCUCCUGGGGCUGGAAAAGAACCUCUGCCUUCUAUGUUCUCAGGCCCCUCUGGCCAUCUCCCUGGGCUGCUGGAGAGGGGUGAGGGUGUGGCAGAAGGCAAGACCACCUUUCUGCCUUUGAGAUCAUCCUUGUCCCCACAAGGAGGUAAGUCAAUAAUACCAGCUGUGUUCAGGGGCAUGGUUGGGAAGUCUGGGUGGGUGUGCAGUGGUCCCAGCCACACCGGGGUGAGUGGCCCCUGGGGGGCCAGCUGCUGUCUGCCAGGACAAGGAAACAUCACCCACACAGAAACUUCAGUGUCCUCAGAGACCCAACCUGUAAUGACCCAACCUGUAACUUCAGAUACAAGGUGGAUGGAACGCCACCACCAUGACUAGGCAUCUAAGAAUGGCCGGCUAGGGUAGCCGUCUCCUGAAGGCAGAGAGGGAGGUCCACACAGGGCCCAUGAAGCCUCCCUGAGCUCACCUUUGUGCUGAGAAGUAAUCUCAUCGCCACAAAGAACACAUGUCCGCUUUCACAACACCCUAAAGGCUGGCUCUUCUGGUUCCUUCCGUGGUGCACAGCAGAGCCCUGAAAAUCAGAUGCCUUGGGGCCAGUGGGUGGCAUGGUAGUUAAGGCACUGGACUCCCACAUGGCCAA